CUCAGGAUGAACGCUAGCUACAGGCUUAACACAUGCAAGUCGAGGGGAAACGACAUCGAAAGCUUGCUUUUGGUGGGCGUCGACCGGCGCACGGGUGAGUAACGCGUAUCCAACCUGCCACCACUUGGGGAUAACCUUGCGAAAGUAAGACUAAUACCCAAUGAUAUCCCACGAAGGCAUCGGAAUGGGAUUAAAGAUUUAUCGGUGAUGGAUGGGGAUGCGUCUGAUUAGCUUGUUGGCGGGGUAACGGCCCACCAAGGCGACGAUCAGUAGGGGUUCUGAGAGGAAGGUCCCCCACAUUGGAACUGAGACACGGUCCAAACUCCUACGGGAGGCAGCAGUGAGGAAUAUUGGUCAAUGGGCGAGAGCCUGAACCAGCCAAGUAGCGUGCAGGAAGACGGCCCUAUGGGUUGUAAACUGCUUUUAUAGGGGAAUAAAGUGAGCCACGUGUGGUUUUUUGCAUGUACCCUAUGAAUAAGGACCGGCUAAUUCCGUG
rnacentral:rRNA from 1 species